AACCCCAGUUGAACUUCGAACCCUUGGUGUAACAGAGGAGUAAAAGAGGACAAAUUCCAUUAACUCGCAGAUGUUCAGCGUUUUUCUCUUGAAAUGACAACAAGAAAUAUGAGCUACAUGAAACCUACUAUGUUUUUAUCUACAAGGAGAUUUUUCAUGUCCAGGACUUCGCUGCAUAUGUUUAUUAACAAUUGAUGGUGUAUAUAUUUUUUAUCAGUGAUUAUUGCGAACAAAGCCCUUGUUAAUUUUAUGUUUAUUAUUUGUGUGGCUGCCACAUAAAUUUAUCAGAAAGUUGACCUCUCACCUCGGCGCCGCAAUGUGUGCAACAAGUUUUUGCAUUCGCACGCGCGGUUGAGGCUUGUGAUGCGAUCCCAUAAAUUAAACUGGCUAAAACCGGAGAAAAGGAAGGCAAACGUCACCGAAACAGCAAAAAAGAAGCGCAUGGCCAGAGCAAACUCAGUCCGCAGAAGCCGCAAACAUGCAAACCAAAAAAAAAGGGGGGGCAACAUGGUCGUGGGAAAGGGGGAUACCGGAUGCCGGGGGGAGAAUGCGGCAACAACUAAGCACGUGUCAAGAGUGCGGCCCAAGUUUUAAUUUGCCGGAGGCAUCCACUAACAUCGCAUGCCCCGAAUCGCCACUGGAAGAACUGCAAUGCAUUUAUAUAUUUUAUAUUUUUUAGACAUAAUUGUUAAAGUUUUGACAACUUACAAAUAACAUAGGCAGAAAUGCAGCUUGUUAACUGAUUCACAAUC